rnacentral:rRNA from 1 species
GAUGAACGCUGGCGGCGUGCCUAAUACAUGCAAGUAGAACGCUGACGGAGUAGCUUGCUCUUCUGGAUGAGUUGCGAACGGGUGAGUAACGCGUAGGUAACCUGCCUGGUAUCGGGGGAUAACUAUUGGAAACGAUAGCUAAUACCGCAUGACAACAGUUAUUGCAUGAUAACCGUUUAAAAGGGGCAACUGCUCCACUACCAGAUGGACCUGCGUUGUAUUAGCUAGUUGGUGAGGUAACGGCUCACCAAGGCGACGAUACAUAGCCGACCUGAGAGGGUGAUCGGCCACACUGGAACUGAGACACGGCCCAGACUCCUACGGGAGGCAGCAGUGGGGAAUAUUCGGCAAUGGACGGAAGUCUGACCGAGCAACGCCGCGUGGGUGAAGAAGGUUUUCGGAUCGUAAAGCUCUGUUGUAAGGGAAGAACGGGUGUGAGAGUGGAAAGUGCACACUGUGCCGGUAUCUUACCAGAAAGGGACGGCUAACUACG